AGAGAGAGAGAGAGAGAGAGAGAGAGAGAGAAGGAAACAGAGAGAAUUGUGGUAAUGACAGGACAAGGGCCAAACAAGAAAGAAGAAGGGAGCUAUGUGCAGGCUGGUACAGCUAGAACAUAGCUGGCAGUGUGUGUAUGGGGUUGUGGGGGGCUAUCUGUAGGGGUUAUAGUGCAAGGGUUGUAUUUGCCAUGGAUAUAGUGGGAUGUUGGAUUGCCUAAAGACACUAGAAACCCUCAUCCUUCUCAUCCCUUCCAAUCCUUUUGUCCCCUCAACGCUUUUCAUGCCUUGCAUCCUGUCCUCAAGCCCUACCAAUCUGACCUAGAUCUUCACACUCUCCCAGAGUCAUAUCUCGUAAGCUUUUGUUGUUUGUUAUUUUGCUGUAUGACUUAGAGUUUCUCCCUGGCCUUUGGCAAUAUCUGUUUUACCCAUAGUCACACUGCAUCAUUUAAAAUCUAAAAGCUACUUAAACUGGUUCUUCAGCGCACCAAACGAAGAACAAAUGUAGGUUAUAUCUGCUCUUCAGAAACAAGUUUACAGCCUUUAUGGCCUUUGGACCUGAAGUAGCCUCCUUGCAAAGAACCAAUACCAACAGAUAACAAUCUCUGGUGUAUUUAAUUGCAGACCUCAUAAUCUGGUCUUUUUUUCCUCAAGUAAACCAAUAUCAGCAGUUUUGUGGUAGGAUUUCAACAGGGUGUAACUUCCAGGCUAACGUUCAUUCAAACCUCCACCCAUCUCUUCAAUCCACCUAUUCCUUCUACAGAUAGAGGCAGAGUUGAACUCUACACUUUACUCCAUCUGAACACAACACUGCCUCAGAUAAAGGUGUAGUCUGGAUGAAUUUAGUCACAAUAGCUAUCAUCCACAGGAGUGAGAGGAGUUCACGCAGUAGUCAUUGUAAUUGCCUGGAAUGUGAAUGGCAUUAUCCAAAAGUGUGGGAGGAUAUAAGAUUGAUAUGAAAAGCUGUUGUGGAACAGAAAAGCAUCUGUGGUAAUAUGGAAGUGACAUGGAUAGGGUGGGAUAAAGGGUGAUUGUAUGAUUGCUGCUCCACAUCAUCAAAAUCAGAAAUGGGUUCAAAGUCCACUGUGAUGUCAAGUACAGAAAUACACAAGGCCAGAGCGAUUAAUGAGAUAGAGAGGGACAAGACUUCACUGCAGCCAUGAAGCACAAAAUAAUUAUCCCGGUCAUUUGAUCCCAUUCAAAAAGGUAAUACACUGAUUAUAUGUUAAUGCUAAACAGGGUAGUUACAGUGUCACAGAUUCAGGGUUAGCCACAGUGUAUGAUCGAAUGUUUACCUAACUGCUGACGUUUUCAAAAAAACCUGAUUUCCCUAACACAUAUCAAUCUGUUCAGUUGUUUUACCCAGUUAAAUACCUUACUCCAGUGUUUCUCACCUUUUUUUUUUUUUUAAUCUGGCUGUAAUUAAAAUUUUCACAGCCCCCCCCUUCUGGACUGCCCUAAAACACACUACAGCAACCUCCAUUUCCAUGUUCCUUAAUUCAUUCUCAGAAACGUUCAAACCUUAACACCCCUAAUACUAAAUACCUCUUUUUUAUUUCAGAAUACUAUGCCCAUAUUGAAAUAUAUUCAUCACUGGGACACAUACGGGGAAAAUCCAACAAAGGAUUGGCGAUGGCCACGUAUUGUUCCGAUUGUGUAACGCUUCAAAGCCUAUUUGCACACACUGAUUCAAAUGAAACUCAGCAAGCAUCCCAUACUCGACACAUAUUAUCUCACUGCUAUCAGUGUCCACAGGUUACACAGCCCAUGCGAGCUCAUCCUUGUUAAUGUUUAACCCUUAUCAUAAUGGUGCCAUGAUACACGGUUGGACAGCAGAAAACUGAUAAAGACGGUGGUGGAUGAGCAUUUGGAAGGACUGUCCAUUCAUUAUAAGGCAUUGACCUGUCACUAAUCAACCAAUGAGUCAAUGUUACUAGUGUUAUUCAGAGAUGUCACAGAAGAGUCCCAGAAUGAUUUCAAAACGAAAUGCUUUAACAAAGCUACGUGCAAAACCUAAAAUACUGACUAAAAUUCACUAUAACUUGGUGAUUCCUCUGAGUCAACAUUUUAUUUAUGCCAGUCUUUAAUACACAAGUUUUUUAGGUUAAAAUAAAAAGUCUAAGUGUUGGCUUUAAACAAAACAUCAAUUCAACAAUUUAAAUGAGAACAAACCAGCACUGUUGCAGAUGAGCCGGUUUAGUAUUACACAUUUGCGUAGACAUGCAAUGCACACCAAAUGUGAGGGUUUUGAAUGCAGAGUGCACAGGAAGGCAUUCAAAUUUGCCUUGUUCUCACCACGCUGUAAAUUCCAGGCUUCGACAAGAGAGCGAAACUGAUCUCAGGUCAGCUCGGAACUUCUAGUCAAGAUUUAGGGCGAGGCAGCGUGAGUCUUUUGCUACACAAACAGGUAUGUUGGUGAUGCAUAAGCUCCUGCACAGACAUCUGAACUAACCUGCCUGGCCAGAAACUAUUAAUUUAUUUCAGUGUUCGGUGCAGUUUCUGUCCAGCUCUCUUUCGUACUCAUUGAGUUUCAGGUAAAAUUGUGGAGACAAAGGGUAUUCUAAACACAAAUUAAACCGUAAGAAAGACGGAUGACCAUAUUUGUCAUAUUGUUUGUUAUGGAAUGGGCACACAAUUCUGCUUUGUCAAUGGGCAAGAAAAGCACAGAAUGACACUGGAGGCAUGUGACCUAUAAAGCAUGAGUGGACGUUGAGAUAAUGUAAUAGAUCCUCUAAGGAACUGUGUGACAGGUGGAAGGUGUGGUUCACCUGCUGCUAGAAAUGCAAGUGGGGGAGAAAAAAAGAGUGCAGUUCAACUUUAAGACCAGACGGUUUGUGGAGUAACAAUAUGAACAGUUACACCAGACAAUAUAAAUAUAUAUAUAUAUAUAUUAGAAUUGAUGCAAUUAUGGAAGAUCUUUUCAAGCAAAGCAUAAAAAGCCUAACAUGUCCAACAUGUGCAUUCAAUUUGCACAAUGCAUGCAAAAGGCUUCCUUUGCAUGCACAGAUUUGCACAAAAGUACUUAAAAAGCCCCAAAAGCACCUGUUUCCCCGGGUUACCAGUGCAGUAUAAUAAAUUCACCAUCAUUUUCUCAAACCACCUUUUCAAAUACACCUUCAGCAGCAGGAAAAAGACCUGCCACAAAGACACUGAAAAGCCAGAGUUGCUUUUAAGCUCAGUAUCUCCACUUUAGUUGCCAUUUCAUUAUGAGGAUGAAACACAGAGAAUGGAGCAAGGACAAAACAAAGUUUCAUCAGAUUCAAAAUGCCAUUAAGGAUUCUCUGCAUAACCGAGCUGCUGUUUUCUCCUUCAACACCAAGUAGCCAUGGAUUACUGGUGUACUAUGGUGCUGCAAACCAGCUAGCGAUGUUCAGGUGUGAAGAUUGAACAAUAGGCUGGUGUAAUUUCUUUAGCAUUCAGAGGAACACCAUUCGUAACAACUUUAUUACCCGAAGCCGGGUUUACAAUGGACGAUUUGCUGUCAAAGGCAAAAAAACCACACAUCGUAAAAGAAUUAUUUGGUCACGAGAACAAAGGUCAUGAGAAAUCAUGGUCAUGAGGCAUUUUUCAUGAAAAUCUCAGGGUGUAAUCACUACUUGGACGGCAUAGGAUUACACAAAAUUUAAGGGGCAGUUUCAAAUAUGGUAAUGGAAAUUGCAAAAUGUAAACAAAACAUGCUAAUGGACAGAAAAAUAUACACUUAUUAUUUCAAGCUCACUCUGAAGAAUGUUUAUGUGAGAGCCUGUUUUCUGAAUCGCUCGGAUUGUUUAUCCUUACAGGAUCUUUAUCACACAAUUCGGCCAAAUUACAGUUUCCAAAAAAUUUCCACAAAAUGUUUGUGAAGUUCCAGGACAAAUACUGAUGCAUACUUGAGAGAAUCUGAAAAAUCAUGAGGUAAGUGUAGCAGUAAAAAUGGGUAGGAGUUAGACAUGUUCCAAAGCACGUGAUUGGUGAAACAUGGUGAUGUGUGCAUGUAUGCCUCUUAACCGAGCACUCAAAUCAUAUCUGCUCAAAAAAAAAAAAAAAAAAAGAGGAUGGCGGGACAACAUACAGCAAGACAACCAAAGCACUAAACCACUAAUUCAGCUGUGGUUUUGUUAUCAAAGUGUGUGGCCAAGAGGAUCACCUGAUCUGCAACGUGAUGAGGACAAAGAACCGCUGAAACAAACAGGAAAUGAAAGCAUGCAAAAUGCCCAGUAUUAUUAUAGAUCAUAAACGUCAGGAAGUCAAAUUUCUUUGACUUAAAUUUAUUUCUCUUAAAUUUAAAAUUGAAAUUAUAACUUUUUUUUACUCCACUGACCUUCUUCAUGCAACUUGGUUUGUGUAUUAAAGUUAUAAUCAGAGAUCUCAUAUGCUCACAGUUUUAGUUAGUUAUUCACUAGUAAAUACUCUGCACCCAGCGAUACAGGAAAAGUGUGUGUCGUUUUUAUUUGGAAAUGUCGCUGGCAUUUCCACUUUUCAGGAAAGUCACAAUGUCAAAAGCCUUUGUUGACAUGUGGUUAACAAGUCUGCCUCGCACCCCCAGGAUUAGGGGUUCAAUUCCUGCCUCUGCUCUGUGUGCGCAGAGCUUGCAUUUUCUCCCUGUGCUUCGGGGGCUUCCUCUGGGUUUCCUCCCCCAGUCCAAAGAUAUAUGUUAUAGGCUGAUUGGCAUCUCUAAAUUGUCCGUAGUGUGUGAUUGUGCCCUGCCCGCCCAGGGUGCCCCCGACCUUGUACCCCACGUCUCCUGGGAUACAUAAAAAAAAUUUUUUUUAAAGUUUAUUUAAUUUUCAAUGGCCAAGUUUUCAAGGGAAAAGUGUUUGUCUUGUGAUCAGAAGAUGCAUCUGAUGCAUUUGUUUGACCCCUUUAUAUCCGAAAAAUCUGGUCUCAUUCUAUUUCUCAUUAGGAAUUCUAGAAGAAACAUUUGUGACAAAAUUGAGACAAUGAUUAGAGUUGUGUAACCAUGUCCUAUAAGAUUUUGAUGGUGCCUCCAUGUUGUCGUAGCCUACAGUCAUGUGAAUCUUCUCUGAAAGUGAAAACCUUUUCCUUGAGUUUCCUUGUGAUUUCUUUGUGAUAAGUUUCACUGCUCCCUGUUUAAAAGUGCAAAUAUUUGCCCAUUUUGCCACCUUGCUUGCAUCAUAAUGUUGCGUUGUACACAAUAGCUGUGCAUGUUAUUUAACCAUGGACCAGUAAUUAUUCAGUAUAUUACUGUGUAAUGAUUGCUGUACUUUUGGGAAAGCAUCAUAUAAAUAAAUGGACACUGAAUUGAUUACAACUACCAUGAGCACUAUCAGGCAUUCCCAUCAUGGUAAAAUUACAGUGAUCUCAUCUUCAAGUGCUAGAUAUUAAAUCAGACUUUUUUUUUUUUUAAAGAUGGGUUCCCUUUUGAGUUCCUCUCAAGGUGUCUUCCUCAAGUUGUCUCAGGGAGUUUUUCCUUGACACUAUCACCUCUGGCUUGCUUAAUAAAGAUAUAAAUCUAUAUCAGAUUUCUGUAAAGCUGCUUUGUGACCAUGGCUGUAGUGAAAUGUGCUAUACAAAUAAAACUGAAUUGACCUUUCUGAAAUGGACUCAGUAGUUUGUUCACAGUCCCAAAGUGACGACCUCUUAAUCAAUAAUGUAGUGGAUUUAUGCUAUUUAAUGCUUCAGCUUCCAGGACCUUCUGAUUGGUCCAGAGUUACAUCCUUUUAAUAAUCCAUCACAUUAAUAUUUGGAUGGAGAUAUAUAUAUGGAGACCACACACAUUAAAAAAAGGUUCUUGAAGUUGUUCUUCUAGUGUAUUAGCGCAUGAUGAAUCUCUCCUAACAUUUGUCACUCUGUACACUUCUGCUUAUAGUCUGACACCCCUGAAGGCAUUUAGAACUCAACAGGAGGCAAAACUCAACUAUCAGCACUGAUACAGUCACGGUCAAUUUCUGAAUUUUUCCACUGGGAGUUUUGUCUGACGUUUUCACCUAGCAGGCCAUCCUCCAGGCGAGGCAGCGGUACUGUGAUGUAAUUAGUGAGCCAGUGCUGCUCCAAGUCCCGGAUGAGCAAUCUUAAGGGCACCAGCUGUGUUGGUGGAGUACAGAGGGAACCCCAUAGGGACAAGACACAUAGGCUCAAGAGUAACAAAGCAACAGCAGCGAGUUCCCGUCACCACAACAAUGCAAAAUGAAACUGCCGAUCUCCUGCAAAAUGGUUCGAGCUGUCAGGAAGGAAAUAGUAACUCAUAUAAUCACACUUUACAACUGUGGUGAGCAGAGAAGUAUCUCAGCAUGCACAACACAUCAAACCUUGAGGAGGAUGGGCUACAACAGCAGAAGACCACACUGGGUAACAGUCCUGUCAGCCAAGAACAGGAAUCUUGGGCAUAGGCUCACCCAAACUAGACAGUUGAGCAUUAGGGGGGAAAAAAUCACCUGGUCUGUCACGUGUUUGGAUGAAUAGAUAAAUACAUGAAAGAGUAGGUGUGCAAUUGUUCCUAAUAAAGUGCUCAGUGAGUGUAUAUACAGCAUAUAUGGUGCAUUGUCCUUUUAUUUCAAUAAAUACAAAAAUAUUAGUGUUGGCAAAAUGCUGUGGUAGAAGAGGAAUAAAACACCUCUGGAUGUGCUGGUAUUGGAAUAUAAUCAGUAUAAUUUGGGGAAGUAACAGUAACUCCACUAGUCAUUUAGCUGACUCCACCCCCUUGUUGAUUAUUUUCCUGUCACAGACAGCACUCUCUGUCAUGUAUUAUUCCUUAAAUAUUGUACAAGGAUAGCAAAAAGACAAAAAAGGUUGAUCUAUUAGGGUUCAGUUUGUUAAGAAGUGUUUUUAAGUCAAGUAUCACCUCUAAACUAAAGGAAGCUGUCUGAAUCAAAGCAAAAUGUGUCAGAGAGAAAGUCUAUAAAAGAAUUUAAACAUUAAAAAAAAAAAUGUCCAUAACUGAGCCUUGAGUCUAUCUGUGUCUGCAAAGGUGCUCAAAAAUACCCAUAUCUGUAUCUGUAUUCUUAUUUCAACCUGAACUGUGCGCAGUCUAUACCAGAAAGAAACAUUGGAAAAAACUGAGGCAGAAAUGGCAGCACUGUCAGCGUGGUGUGUGAAAUUGGACGAGUUCUGACAGUUCCUCAACCUCAGUGACAUCACUCCAGUUCAUAAUUACUUUCAAAUAAAGAGGUGCAUGAGACUGUUUUUUUUUUCAUCCGGCACAUGCAUUUACUAUUUUUGCUCAGAUAGCUAGAUAAAUAGCCUUUAUUGAUCCUGAGGGAAAUUGCAGCGUUACAGUAGUGGUAAAAACAAAUAUUUACAGGUAAACAUACAUAAACAUUUUAAAUAGCACAAUGCAAAAAAAUAGUAUAAUCUAAAGAGAUGGAGCAUAUCUCUACACAUAAAAUAUGUAAACAAACUCUGUAAAGAAUGCAUUUAGAUGUGUGCAAAUGUGCAAGAAUGUGGAAUGUGGAACUAUUACUACUACUACUCCUAAUAAUAAUAAUAACCACAGGAACAAUAACACUAAUAACAAUAAUAAUAAUAAUAAUAAUAAUAAUAAUAAUAAUAAUAAUAAUAAUAGAAUAAUAAUAACCACCGGAACAAUAACACUAAUAACAAUAACAAUAAUAAUAAUAAUAAUAAUAAUAAUAAUAAUAGAAUAAUAAUAACCACCGGAACAAUAACACUAAUAACAAUAACAAUAAUAAUAAUAAUAAUAAUAAUAAUAAUAAUAAUAAUAAUAAUAAUAAUAGAAUAAUAAUAACC